AUUGAACGCUGGCGGCAGGCCUAACACAUGCAAGUCGAACGAGUGGCGGACGGGUGAGUAAUGUCUGGGAAACUGCCUGAUGGAGGGGGAUAACUACUGGAAACGGUAGCUAAUACCGCAUACCAUCGGAUGUGCCCAGAUGGGAUUAGCUAGUGGGUGGGGUAACGGCUCACCAGGGCGACGAUCCCUAGCUGGUCUGAGAGGAUGACCAGCAAACCUGGAAUUGAGCAACGGUCCAGACCCCUACGGAGGCAGCAAGUGGGGAAUAUUGCACAAUGGGGGAAAGCCUGAUGCAGCAAUGCGGGGUGUAUGAAGAAGGCCUUCGGGUUGAAAAGUACUUUCUGCGGGGAGGCGGUACCCGCAGAAGAAGCACCGGCUAACUCCGUGCCAGCAGCCGCGGUAAUAC
rnacentral:rRNA from 1 species